AUUGAACGCUGGCGGCAGGCCUAACACAUGCAAGUCGAGCGGCAGCGGGUCCUUCGGGAUGCCGGCGAGCGGCGGACGGGUGAGUAAUGCCUAGGAAUCUGCCUGGUAGUGGGGGAUAACUCGGGGAAACUCGAGCUAAUACCGCAUACGUCCUACGGGAGAAAGCGGGGGAUCUUCGGACCUCGCGCUACCAGAUGAGCCUAGGUCGGAUUAGCUAGUUGGUGAGGUAAAGGCUCACCAAGGCGACGAUCCGUAGCUGGUCUGAGAGGAUGAUCAGCCACACUGGAACUGAGACACGGUCCAGACUCCUACGGGAGGCAGCAGUGGGGAAUAUUGGACAAUGGGCGAAAGCCUGAUCCAGCCAUGCCGCGUGUGUGAAGAAGGUCUUCGGAUUGUAAAGCACUUUAAGUUGGGAGGAAGGGCAGUAAGUUAAUACCUUGCUGUUUUGACGUUACCGACAGAAUAAGCACCGGCUAACUUCGUGCCAGCAGCCGCGGUAAUACGAAGGGUGCAAGCGUUAAUCGGAAUUACUGGGCGUAAAGCGCGCGUAGGUGGUUUGAUAAGUUGGAUGUGAAAGCCCCGGGCUCAACCUGGGAAUUGCAUCCAAAACUGUCUGACUAGAGUAUGGCAGAGGGUGGUGGAAUUUCCUGUGUAGCGGUGAAAUGCGUAGAUAUAGGAAGGAACACCAGUGGCGAAGGCGACCACCUGGGCUAAUACUGACACUGAGGUGCGAAAGCGUGGGGAGCAAACA
rnacentral:rRNA from 1 species